rnacentral:rRNA from 1 species
AUUGAACGCUGGCGGCAGGCUUAACACAUGCAAGUCGAACGAGUGGCGGACGUGUGAGUAACGUUUGGGAAUCUCCCUUCUGGAGGGGAUAACUCCGGGAAACUGUAGCUAAUACCGCGUACCAUAGGAUGAGCCCAAGCGGGAGUAGGUAGUUGGUGGGGUAAAGGCUCACCAAGCCGACGAUCUCUAGCUGGUCUGAGAGGAUGACCAGCCACACCGGGACUGAGACACGGCCCAGACGCCUACGGGAGGCAGCAGUGGGGAAUAUUGCGCAAUGGGCGCAAUCUGACGCAGCCAUUCCGCGUGAAUGAAGAAGGCCUUGGGGGGGUAAAGUUCUUUCGGUAGCGAGGCGUUAACUACAGAAGAAGCACCGGCUAACUCCGUGCCAGCAGCCGCGGUAAUUC